UUUGUAAUAAUAUAUAAAUAAAAUAAUAAAUGUGCAUGGUAACAGUGAUGUAAAUUUUUGCAGUGCAGUGAUAACAGUUUGAUGAUCUUUGGUGCCGAUGUUAAAGCCACUUUAGUGUUACUGGGGAGUGGGGCAUACGUUGUGAUUUGCCCACGUAGCUAACCAGGAGAUCAUGAUUGGUUUAGUGAUUGAUUCAUCUUUUUUAACUGAGGCAGUCAUCAUUUGCAGAAGGAGCUGUAAUGAAGUAACUUUCAUUUCAUUUAUUUAGUCAAGGUUCAUUAUUAGAAAUGAGCCCACCUUUGUCUCAAUGUCAAAGAGCUUUGAUCAAAGGGGAGAUUGUAAAAUUUUAUCCCUAUUAAAAGCAUUAAAUGUCAUUCAACCUUUAUUAUUUUUAUAA
rnacentral:lncRNA from 1 species